CAAAAAAAAAAAAAAAUGAAAAACGUUCAUAAUUUUAUCUUUGAUAAUAAAUAAGGUAACAGUUCCACAUGCAGUUAUCCGUACAGAAUUAUUGGAGCCAAUUGCUAUUACAUCAGCACUGACACAGCGACGUGGGAUGACGCUUAUGUUCAUUGUUUACACAGAGGAGGGUAUUUGGCAAACCUAGAGACUUUUAAUGAAUUUAUGAUCCUACGCUCCUGGCUUAGUGGUUUAAAUAAUGGUCAAUCCUAUUCGAUUGGAGGGCGUAAAAAGGAAGGAGUUUGGGAAUGGGUGAGGAAUGGCCGCUUUUCCAAGAUGUCCUAUUUUGUGUUCAGUCCAUCGGAACCAAAUGGUUCAAAAUCAAAACCGGAAAAUUGCGCAGCAAUUGCUUCUGAUUUACAUUAUUAUGUUUAUGAUUUCCGCUGCAAUUCUGUAGUAAGGUAUAUUUGUGAAAAAUGAAAAGUCAAUAUACUUUUCACUUUUUUAACUAAUCCUUUUUUUAUGUUGUGCAUAUCAGUCGAAUAAAUAAUUACAAGUACGUUAUCGCCGACGUAAUAUUCUUUUAAUGCAGCACUGGUAAUGCUUACUACAGAAAUAUGAACAG